GUGAACGAGCGACGCCGCGUGCGGGAUGAAGGGCUUCGGCUUGUAAACCGCGAAAAUUGGGGAAGAAUACACAGGUCGUGAACUUGUGUUUGACGGUACCUGACAUAAGCCCCGGCUAACUCCGUGCCAGCAGCCGCGGUAAGACGGAGGGGGCAAGCGUUGUUCGGAAUUAUUGGGCGUAAAGGGCUCGUAGGCGGACCAGCAAGUCUGGCGUGAAAUCUCCACUGCUCAACAGGGAGAGGUCGCUGGAUACUACUGAUCUUGAGUAUGGUAGAGGACCAUGGAAUUCCGCGUGUAGCGGUGGAAUGCGUAGAUAUGCGGAAGAACACCGGUGGCGAAGGCGGUGGUCUGGGCCAUUACUGACGCUGAGGAGCGAAAGCCAGGGGAGCAAACGGGAUUAGAUACCCCGGUAGUCCUAGCCCUAAACGAU
rnacentral:rRNA from 1 species